UCAGAAAUUGUCUCACAUUUCACACUCUCUUCGCUCGUUCUCCGCGACUUUCACAUUUCACUCUCUCUUCGCCCGUUCUCCACGCUUGACGCCACCGCCGGUCGCCCUCGAUGCCACUGUCGCUCGCCCUCGACGCCACUGCUGACCUCUGCUCGGCGAGCCACCGCUUCCUCUGUAGAGAGAGAGAGCGUCGUUACAGGUGCUCGGCUCUUCUUUUGAGAAGAAGGUGAAGAAGAAGAAGGUCCCACUGGAGCUCGAGACUGUUACAUUCAGGUUAAUCCUCAAACUUCAUCACCACUCCAGUUGUUCCCACUAUGGAACUCCAACUUGGUAGCAUUGACCCAAGUUCCACUGCUGUGCUGUGAGAAAUAGACCUCCAUCAGCUCACCAGUGAAAUUGCUGAUUGGGAUCCGGAAGAUAUGUGUUCCAAGGAUAUGCAAACUUGUGACAGCUGUAGCCUCAUUUUCCCUCGUAGAAGUAUGAAAAAGAUGGAAGGCCCAAGUGGUGAAGUUCAAAUUUUGUGUAGAUUGAGCUUCUUUCUUUUAGUUACGACUAAUUAACUUAGCUUAUCGGUUUUUACGGUAUAGUUAGUCAGUUGUCUACUUUGGAAUUUAAGUGAUUCGAAUGGUGUGUGUUGAAGACCUUUUAUUAUGGAAAACCUGCAUAACUUGGGAAAGCUUUUAAUUUA